rnacentral:rRNA from 1 species
CCUACGGGUGGCUGCAGUGGGGAAUAUUGGACAAUGGGCGAAAGCCUGAUCCAGCCAUGCCGCGUGUGUGAAGAAGGCCUUCGGGUUGUAAAGCACUUUCAGUGGGGAAGAAAGCCUUGGGGCUAAUACCCUCGAGGAAGGACAUCACCCACAGAAGAAGCACCGGCUAACUCCGUGCCAGCAGCCGCGGUAAUACGGAGGGUGCGAGCGUUAAUCGGAAUUACUGGGCGUAAAGCGCGCGUAGGCGGUCUGAUAAGCCGGUUGUGAAAGCCCCGGGCUCAACCUGGGAACGGCAUCCGGAACUGUCUGGCUAGAGUGCAGGAGAGGAAGGUAGAAUUCCCGGUGUAGCGGUGAAAUGCGUAGAGAUCGGGAGGAAUACCAGUGGCGAAGGCGGCCUUCUGGACUGACACUGACGCUGAGGUGCGAAAGCGUGGGUAGCAAACAGGAUUAGAUACCCGAGUAGUC